rnacentral:rRNA from 1 species
UACGUAGGUGGCAAGCGUUAUCCGGAUUUAUUGGGCGUAAAGGGAACGCAGGCGGUCUUUUAAGUCUGAUGUGAAAGCCUUCGGCUUAACCGGAGUAGUGCAUUGGAAACUGGGAGACUUGAGUGCAGAAGAGGAGAGUGGAACUCCAUGUGUAGCGGUGAAAUGAGUAGAUAUAUGGAAGAACACCAGUGGCGAAAGCGGCUCUCUGGUCUGUAACUGACGCUGAGGUUCGAAAGCGUGGGUAGCAAACAGG